rnacentral:rRNA from 1 species
AGAGUUUGAUCAUGGCUCAGAACGAACGCUGGCGGCGUGCUUAACACAUGCAAGUCGAACGUGAUUGGAAGCUUGCUUCCAUGAAAGUGGCGCACGGGUGAGUAACGCGUGGAUAACCUGCCCUGGUAUCUGGGAUAACAUCUCGAAAGGGGUGCUAAUACCGGAUAAGCCCACGGACUCUUCGGAGUUUGAGGGAAAAGGUGGCCUCUGUUUCAAGCUACCGUAUCAGGAUGGGUCCGCGUACCAUUAGCUAGUUGGUAGGGUAAUGGCCUACCAAGGCGACGAUGGUUAGCUGGUCUGAGAGGAUGAUCAGCCACACUGGAACUGAGACACGGUCCAGACUCCUACGGGAGGCAGCAGUGGGGAAUUUUGCGCAAUGGGGGAAACCCUGACGCAGCAACGCCGCGUGAGUGAUGAAGGCUUUCGGGUCGUAAAGCUCUGUCAGAGGGGAAGAAAUGAUGAGGUGCUAAUACCGCUUCAUCUUGACGGUACCCUCAAAGGAAGCACCGGCUAACUCCGUGCCAGCAGCCGCGGUAAUACGGAGGGUGCAAGCGUUGUUCGGAUUUAUUGGGCGUAAAGCGCGUGUAGGCGGUCUUCUAAGUCUGAUGUGAAAGCCCUGGGCUCAACCCAGGAAGUGCAUUGGAUACUGGGAGACUUGAAUACGGGAGAGGGUAGUGGAAUUCCUAGUGUAGGAGUGAAAUCCGUAGAUAUUAGGAGGAACACCGGUGGCGAAGGCGGCUACCUGGACCGAUAUUGACGCUGAGACGCGAAAGCGUGGGGAGCAANNAGGAUUAGAUACCCNNGUAGUCC